UACGGGGGGGGUAAGCGUUGUUCGGAAUUACUGGGCGUAAAGGGCUCGUAGGCGGCCAACUAAGUCAUACGUGAAAUCCCUCAGCUUAACUGGGGAACUGCGUGUGAUACUGGAUGGCUUGGAUUUGGGAGAGGGAUGCGGAAUUCCAGGUGUAGCGGUGAAAUGCGUAGAUAUCUGGAGGAACACCGGUGGCGAAGGCGGCAUCCUGGACCAAUAUUGACGCUGAGGCACGAAAGCUAGGGGAGCAAACAGG
rnacentral:rRNA from 1 species